CGCUGGCGGCGUGCCUAAUACAUGCAAGUCGAGCGAAUGAUAGAGAAGCUUGCUUCUCUCUGAUUAGCGGCGGACGGGUGAGUAACACGUGGGUAACCUACCCUAUAGACUGGGAUAACUUCGGGAAACCGGAAGCUAAUACCGGAUAAUACUUCGAAACACAUGUUUUGAAGUUGAAAGAUGGUUUCGGCUAUCACUAUAGGAUGGACCCGCGGCGCAUUAGCUAGUUGGUGAGGUAACGGCUCACCAAGGCAACGAUGCGUAGCCGACCUGAGAGGGUGAUCGGCCACACUGGGACCGAGACACGGCCCAGACUCCUACGGGAGGCAGCAGUAGGGAAUCUUCCACAAUGGACGAAAGUCUGAUGGAGCAACGCCGCGUGAGUGAAGAAGGAUUUCGGUUCGUAAAACUCUGUUGCAAGGGAAGAACAAGUAGCGUAGUAACUGGCGCUACCUUGACGGUACCUUGUUAGAAAGCCACGGCUAACUACGUGCCAGCAGCGGC
rnacentral:rRNA from 1 species